rnacentral:tRNA from 1 species
GCCGGAGUGGCGGAAUUGGCAGACGCGCCGGAUUCAAAAUCCGGUGCCCGUUUAGGGCGUGUGGGUUCGAGUCCCACCUCCGGUA